rnacentral:rRNA from 1 species
AGUGAACGCUGGCGGCGUGCUUAACACAUGCAAGUCGAACGAGAACGGAAUAUAGCUUGCUAUAUUUGUCAGCUAAGUGGCGCACGGGUGGGUAAUGUAUAGAUAACCUGCCCUUAAGAAAGGAAUAACAGUUGGAAACGACUGCUAAUGCCCUAUAUGCCUUUAAUACAUAAGUAUGCAAGGGAAACGCUUUAGUGCUUAAGGAUGGGUCUGUAUGGUAUCAGCUUGUUGGUGAGGUAAUGGCUCACCAAGGCUAUGACGCCUAACUGGUUUGAGAGGAUGAUCAGUCACACUGGAAUUGAGACACGGUCCAGACUCCUACGGGAGGAAGCAGUGGGGAAUAUUGCACAAUGGACGAAAGUCUGAUGCAGCAACGCCGCGUGGAGGAUGACACAUUUCGGUGCGUAAACUCCUUUUAUAUAGGAAGAUAAUGACGGUACUAUAUGAAUAAGCACCGGCUAACUCCGUGCCAGCCGCCGCCGUAA